rnacentral:rRNA from 1 species
UACAGAGGGGGCAAGCGUUGUUCGGAAUUACUGGGCGUAAAGGGCGCGUAGGCGGCCUUCUAAGUCGAACGUGAAAUCCCCGGGCUCAACCCGGGAACUGCGUCCGAGACUGGAAGGCUCGAAUCCGGGAGAGGGAUGCGGAAUUCCAGGUGUAGCGGUGAAAUGCGUAGAUAUCUGGAGGAACACCGGUGGCGAAGGCGGCAUCCUGGACCGGUAUUGACACUGAGGCGCGAAAGCCAGGGGAGCAAACGGG